CCUACGGGUGGCAGCAGUGAGGAAUAUUGGUCAAUGGACGAGAGUCUGAACCAGCAAAGUAGCGUGAAGGAUGACUGCCCUAUGGGUUGUAAACUUCUUUUAUAUGGGAAUAAAACAGGGUAUGCAUACCCUCUUGUAUGUACCAUAUGAAUAAGGAUCGGAUAACUCCGUGCCAGCAGCCGCGGUAAUACGGAGGAGCCGAGCGUUAUCCGGAUUGAGUGGGUUUAAAGGGAGCGUAGGUGGAUUGUGCAGUCAGUUGUGAAAGUUUGCGGCUAAACCGUAAAAUUGAAGUUGAAACUGGCAGUCUUGCUUCCAGUAGAGGUCGCCGGCAUUCGUGGUGUAGCGGUGACCUGCUUAGAUUUCACGCAGAACUCCGAUUGCGAAGGCAGCUCACUGGACUGCACCUGCCACUGCUUCUCGAACGUGUGGGUAUCACACAGGAUUAGCUCCCCUUGUCGUC
rnacentral:rRNA from 1 species